AUUUCCAUGGCAUCUUCAUUCCCCCACACCUCUGUCCACUGACCACCGCCGCUGACCGCCGUCGCGCGCCGCUAUUGUCUCGUGGCCUAAACAGAAGUUCAAGAAGAAGAAAAACGCAAGCUCUAAACACUUUGCUUCCAUGGCAUCGAUCCAAUUUGGCUUCGCAGCGUCCAAUCCGUGUCGAAAAAUUCAGAAAUCCGUAUGUGGCUUUUCGGAUCCAAAUACCAAUUUCACAUCUGAAUCAACACCUAUUGAUUUGGUUUCGGUGAGCACAUAAAAUUUGGGGGAUUUCACUAUCUCCUUUACAGAACAAUUUUCUAGCUUCCUCUAUUUCUUCUUAAGACUGCACAAGGCCAUCCUAUAUGCUGAUCUAGCUGUGGUGUUGAUGCAAGAAGGAUUAUCCCAUAUCAUCCUUAUUAGUAAAAGGGUUCUUGGAAAGACCAGGUUAUACACAACUGCAGAUUGAUCAUGAGGACCAUGCUGCCGAGUUUCUGAAUUUAUACACAAUUGCAGAUUCUGCCCACAAAAGGCUCCAUCCAAAGAGUUGAUAACACAAGCAAUAAGACAUCAACACUGCUCAAAAGAAUUUGAUACUUAGAAUUCAAGAUUGAUUAUAGGAAUUUUGUAAAGUAGAGAUAGGAUAUAUUUGAUACUGAAUUCAACACCGCUUGUUCUAUUGUAAAAUAUUUUUAAAUAUAAUGAAUUGAGUAUCUUUGUUUCACUA